GACGAACGCUGGCGGCGUGCCUAAUACAUGCAAGUCGAGCGAGCGAAACUAACAGAUUUACUUCGGUAAUGACGUUAGGAAAGCGAGCGGCGGAUGGGUGAGUAACACGUGGGGAACCUGCCCCAUAGUCUGGGAUACCACUUGGAAACAGGUGCUAAUACCGGAUAAGAAAGCAGAUCGCAUGAUCAGCUUUUAAAAGGCGGCGUAAGCUGUCGCUAUGGGAUGGCCCCGCGGUGCAUUAGCUAGUUGGUAAGGUAAAGGCUUACCAAGGCGAUGAUGCAUAGCCGAAUGGAGAGACGGAUCGGCCACAUUGGAACUGAGACACGGCCCAAACGCCUGCGGGAGGCAGCAGUAGGGAAUCUUCCACAGUGGACGCAAGUCUGAUGGAGCAACGCCGCGUGAGUGAAGAAGGUGUUCGGAUCGUAAAGCUCUGUUGUUGGUGAAGAAGGAUAGAGGUAGUAACUGGCCUGUAUUUGACGGUAAUCGACCAGAAAGUCACGGCUAACUACGUG
rnacentral:rRNA from 1 species